CAAUACACUUUUUAUAGGUAUCUUUCUUUUGCCUUUCAUAGCCACAACAAGGCUAUAAUACGUUUCCUUCCUGGUUUUUUUGUAGACCACUUUCAGCUGAUUCUAAAAAAUUAAAAUGAAUGGUAAUUUUUCUAUUCUUUACAAUUAAAAAUCAAAAGAAAUAGGAAAUAGGUACUACUAUUUACAGGUAAUAAUAUGCAUAAAUAAUUCGUUUCCUAAAGAAUACAGAAAAUUGAAAACGUUUUUAUAAUACUUACAUAAUUGUUUAAACAAAAGAGACCCAGCCAGAGCAAAACUAACAGACAGAACUGCAAAAAAGCCACUAAUUUCCAUUUUCCCACCCCCUUAUCUUAUAUGCAUUUUCCAAUCAAAAUUUUUAGGUUGUCAUGAACAUGAAAGACUCAACCUCAACAAAUAAUAAUAAACAAAAAGCUCUACAGCUCUACUUCCACUUCCCGCCAAAUGGACACAGGUUGGUGACACUGAAUUCACGCCAAAUAAAUGAAAAAAUAGAACAAUUUUCUUUUUCGUCAAUUUCUUCACGUGAAGUUUAUAACGAACAAACUUAGAUGUCAAAGUGUGCUUUUACACGUCAAAUUUGGCCUUGAAUAACUUGGUCAAUUUCUUGUCCAAUUUAUUGUUGAUGUAAAGUGGACUUUAGUGUACGAAAUUCUAUGGACAUUUGAGUGUAAAAUGACAGCGGAUGUGACAGCGGCUCAUGACAGCGGACAGUAUUAAACGAAAAUUAUCGGUGUGCCAAUCAAGCAAAGGGACAAGGAACUUCCGAAUAUGGCCUAACUGGGGGCACAUAACAUAACAUAAUCCUAAUAUUUACAUUUGUAAAGAAUAUCCUGUUUGUUUUUAUUGUCGAUUGUGCAGCGAAAUUGUGUGCAGCAAAUCAAAUAUAAAGUAGUUUAUCGCCUACAGAACUGAAUUAGUCCAUAGCAGUUAUCAGUUUUUCUUUCUUGGGAAGCUUAUACAUGUAACUUGUAUUGUUGUAAAUUGUGGGAGUAGGGCAGACAGGGAAAAGUCUUAUUUUGUACUGUUCCCAAGGCUCCCCAUGCAAUACAUUUAAAUGAAUUAUCCAAACAAAGCUGGGGACAAUGGAUAAAAGCCACAAGAAGAACAGAUAUAAGGGAACUAAAAUUAAAAUAUGAAAAGUAAACAUUUUAUAAGUGGAACAACCACCAGAUAUUUAAAAGGUAUAAAAAGAAGAAACUGCUGGAAUUUCAAAACAAAUGUGUUUGACUAGUAAAGAUUUGGAUAAAUAACAGGAGUUACUUUGGGCUAUAGCUAAGUGCAGAUUUAUUUCCUUGUGGCUUCCUAUGUUAAUUCUUAUUAAUUAUACACUUAAAUAUGUUUUUAGUCUCAGGAACAUUUUAUAUUUGAUUAUUUUUGAAUAAACAUUAUUAUUAUUAUUACCUUAAUUUCCAUUAAAUAAAUUAACUGUAAUCAAUAAAGUAAUCGUUUAAUUGUUAAUAAAUUAUCAAGUAUGA